rnacentral:tRNA from 1 species
GCGAGGGUGGCGGAAUUGGUAGACGCGCUAGCUUCAGGUGUUAGUGUUCUUACGGACGUGGGGGUUCAAGUCCCCCCUUUCGCACCA